rnacentral:lncRNA from 1 species
GGUGGGGUGGGGUAACGAGGGAGGCCGGGUGCCGGUGGCCAUGGCACUCCUGUCUAUCUGUGACCAGGAGCAAGAAUGUCCUCCAAGGCCUCCUGGGAUCUAGACCCUCAGCCUGGAGUCCCAGGUGGCCAAGCCCCCCCCCUGCUCUGGAGGACCCCACACCCAGCAUCUGUGCAGGUCGAGGGCCAUAGAGCUGGGGACCACAUGCCCCAAGUGGGACAGCCCCCUCCUGCUGCAGGGGGUGGUGUCUGUGCCCCACCCAGGAGACCGCAAUGGGGCAGAGGCCAGCUCAGCCUGGUGGUGCUGGAAUGGGGUGUGCAGAGCCUCCCGCGGCCCGUCCCCUCGCCCUUUCUCACCCCGGCGCAUCCCAGGCUCCCAUGCCCAAGGCCCAGUCCUCCCUGACCUCAUGGCUGGCAGUGCCACCUGCCCUCACCGCUCCAGGCCCGAGGAGCACCCCGGCCCUCUGUUCCUCUGCUUCCAACUCUUGGCCUUUCUGA